rnacentral:rRNA from 1 species
UACGGGGGGUGCGAGCGUUGUCCGGAAUCACUGGGCGUAAAGGGCGCGUAGGUGGCGACCCAAGUCGAUGGUGAAAGCUCGCCGCUCAACGGCGAGUCGGCCACCGAUACUGGGUUGCUUGAGCACUGUAGAGGCUAAUGGAAUUCCGGGUGUAGCGGUGGAAUGCGUAGAGAUCCGGAAGAACACCGGUGGCGAAGGCGGUUAGCUGGGCAGUUGCUGACACUGAGGCGCGACAGCGUGGGGAGCAAACAGG